AAGAUCUACGGAACCUUGCGGAGCCGCUACAUGGCGCUGGUGUGCCCGGCCUCCGACACCAAGAUGGUGCGCUUCCUGUGUCACACCGCCAACGCCUCGAUCAUGAAGAACAUCUUCCACCAGUCCUUCAACGCCUACAAGACGGACAUCGAGCCGCGGCUCAGCGACCUCACGCUGCACCGCCUUCAGUGCAGCCGGCGCCUCUUCGAGGUGCAGCUGUCGCACCGCCAUGUCAGCGCGGCCUACAUCCAGGGGGACAACGUGGCCGUCACCGUGGAGGGCGAGGCCGCCCGCGUCCUCAACUUCGACACAGGUUGUGGUGUGAAUCUGGGCAUGCGCGGUCUUGAGUCUCUGAAAACGUUUAUCUACAAGACGGCCACAGCUGUCGAUCAGAACGACGUUCUAGAAGCGCUGGCCGCUAAAAUCAAACACUCCCGGCAAGUAUCAGAGACCUUCAAGCAGACGGGCCUGUUAGAGUCCAUGUACGAGUAGGCCUCGAAGCUUGUGAAGAACCAAUAUCGCCACCUUGUGGAAAGCUCGUCGGGAGCAGUCGGGGUGAGGCGUCUUGCUCAGGGACACCCCGACACUCAAGUCAAGUCAACCCGCUGGAACUCUUGAGCUACUGCCGCCCAACCGGGUUAGUUAAGAGACAUUAACCAACAGUUCAUCACAACUAAAAAUAUUUUCGUAAAAGAAUGUCAAGAUUAGCAGCCUUUUUCUUUUUUUGAUCCCAAUAGCAGCAAUUGUAAUUUUUUUAUUUAUUUUUUUAUUCAUUGUUCAACUAUGUUGGGGAACCUUUGUAUAGUCACUGUUUAUACACUGUCUUGAUGUUGCUCCGCUUAAAUAAACUGUCAUUGUGCUAUGCUUUUCUUAGUCACAGAUUAGAAAAAUGCAGUUUCAGGUGUUGAUGUAAUAAUUACACACUGGCCAGACAUUUAUUUGGGUUAGGAUUAGGUUAGAUAAAAUGUUCAGCAGAUCUAAAGGUGUUUUCAUUGCAGGUGUGCACCAGUUGGUGCUAUAUAAAUGGUACCUAGUUCCUAUAUAGGUCCUAUAUAUGGGACCAGAUAAUAUAUAUCUAAGUUGCAUUUAUGAGUCCUUAUAAUGGCUGGGGUCAGAGGUUAAAGUGCCACAAAAUAACUUGUCAGUGCCAGUCAUCCGAAUAAAACAAAGAUGAAGAUUGUAUUAUUUCUAUGAAAUCGGUUUAUUUGUUUAAUAAAAUUAUUUUCAGCCAUAUAUGCAUCCUUAUUUGUGUGUGGACAUUGAUCGAACAUGGGUUGUUUAUGUGGAUAAAGUUCAGCAAGAACAAUUGAUACCUUCGGUAGAUUUUUUAGUCCAAUUCCUCCACUGAAAAGGGUGGAAAGUGCUUACAACUCUCUGCUAGUUAGCGAUCUAUGACACUGUUGUUUUUUAAUUGGUCGUCUUGAAAAAAAACAUAAGGGGUAACACUGUUGUUUUUUAUUGGCCGUCAUGAAAAAAACAAAAGGGGUAACACUGUUGAUAUUUAUCAAAUAAAACAUA
ensembl:lncRNA